AAUUGUUGAAAUCAACUGAAACCCGAAACGUGGUGUUUAUUCCUGUUUAGUCUUGGUAUGGAUCGAUUUUGUCCAAAGCCUUGAAGUUAAUGUUACUCUCUUGAUUGGUACUAACAUUUUUCAAAAAUUAGCAUGACAAAUGUGGCUGCAUGCCCCAUGCUAUGGAACAUGAAUCCUUGCUUUGAAGCAAGGUUCACUGAACCAUCCUGAACU
rnacentral:lncRNA from 1 species